rnacentral:sRNA from 1 species
GUCUGUAUUCCCGGCUGCUAUAGAGCCGGGUUAGAGAGCGAGCGCCCGUCCGCGGGCGUCGAGGGCGGGUUGCCUCGCGCUGACCCUUCCCGCCCUCGUUACACACCAGGUCCCCGCGGAAGCGGCGGUGUCGGCGCCAUGGCGGAGCUGACGGCUCUUGAGAGUCUCAUCGAGAUGGGCUUCCCCAGGGGACGCGCGGAGAAGGCUCUGGCCCUCACAGGGAACCAGGGCAUCGAGGCUGCGAUGGACUGGCUGAUGGAGCACGAAGACGACCCAGAUGUGGACGAGCCUCUAGAGACUCCCCUUGGACAUAUCCUGGGACGGGAGCCCACUUCCUCAGAGCAAGGCGGCCUUGAAGGAUCUGGUUCUGCUGCCGGAGAAGGCAAACCCGUUUUGAGUGAAGAGGAAAGACAGGAACAGACUAAGAGGAUGUUGGAGCUGGUGGCCCAGAAGCAGCGGGAGCGUGAAGAGAGAGAGGAACGGGAGGCAUUGGAACGGGAACGGCAGCGCAGGAGACAAGGGCAAGAGUUGUCAGCAGCACGACAGCGGCUACAGGAAGAUGAGAUGCGCCGGGCUGCUGAGGAGAGGCGGAGGGAAAAGGCCGAGGAGUUAGCAGCCAGACAAAGAGUUAGAGAAAAGAUCGAGAGGGACAAAGCAGAGAGAGCCAAGAAGGUAGGUGACUGAGAAGACGCCACGGGUAAUGGAGCGGGCAGGUUAGUAAAUCUGUUCCAGCUUCAGAGGCAAAGCAUGGGCUUAUAUGAUGUUUCACUUGAGGAUGGGUGAGUACCUGAUUGAGUGUUUUACUUUGCCCUUUAGUAUGGUGGCAGUGUGGGCUCUCAGCCACCCCCACCGGCACCAGAGCCAGGUCCUGUUCCCUCUUCUCCCAGCCAGGAGCCUCCCAACAAGCGGGAGUAUGACCAGUGUCGCAUACAGGUCAGGCUGCCAGAUGGGACCUCACUGACCCAGACGUUCCGGGCCCGGGAACAGCUGGCAGCCGUGAGGCUCUAUGUGGAGCUCCACCGUGGGGAGGAACCAGGUGGGGGCCAGGACCCUGUGCAAUUGCUCAGUGGCUUCCCCAGACGGGCCUUCUCAGAAGCUGACAUGGAGCGGCCUCUGCAGGAGCUGGGACUUGUGCCUUCUGCUGUUCUCAUUGUGGCCAAGAAAUGUCCCAGCUGAGGGCCUUUGUCCCAUCGUCCCUCUGUGACCCCUUCAUCUUUGAUAAAGCACUGACAUCUUCUUCCUAAUAAAU